GAAGAUCAACAUAUUAAUUUAUGAAGGAAAACAUUAAAUGCUCAAUAUUUUUGACAUUUUAUCACAAAUGUUAAAAUUGCGUCACUAAUUGAGGAUUCAAUUUUGUAGUCACUGAAAGAGAACUACAAAUAUUAAAUAGCUUUAAUCAUUUGACAAACACCAUUUGUGAUGAAAAACUCAAUAAAUCUAAGGGUUAGAAAUUGGUAAAUUGGGUUUGGAGGUACAAGGAAAUGUGCAUUGACAGGUGGGUAUUCCACGGUCAUUAAUUAUACAAGUUCCUUGAAUAUUAGUACGUCCUGUUCCUUCCACACAUCUCCGAAAGCAUCCAUCUCUAUCUGAUCCAAAUGUGCAUAUGUUAAAUCCUAUCUCAAUACUGCAUGUGUUGGAUCCAUUCACUACUGCAAUACUUCUCUCAUCUGCAUCCACAAAACUUAUUAAAGUGAGUUUCUCAUCUUGAAUGCCAAAAUUAGAUAGAGAAAAAAUUGUGCUUUUUAGAAUUAGUCAAUGUAUAAACCAUAGUUUGAUUAAUGUGUUAGAUUUAACAAACGAUAGUUUCUGAGCAGCAACCAUGUGCAUAAGGCAUCUCGCGUUUACACAGGGUCCGGGAAAGGGUAUUACCUUAAGGGUUGUGAUGUAGACAAUCUACCUUAAUACAAACAUUAAUGACUGCUUCCACGAUUCGAACCCUUGACCUAGAGGUCACAUGAAGACAAAUUUUACCGUUGCUCCCAAGCUCCCUUCAAACGAUGGUUUCUAAGAGACAAAAGAAUUAUGAACAUGCAUCUAGUGGUCAGAGAUUACAAUUUGAACUAUAGUUUGGUGAGUUCAAAUUCAGCGGCCUCCUGACCACUUGUUGGCCUACUAGAUUCCAGUUAUUUCUGUAUAACUAUGUAAAAGAAAUUGAGGAAAAGGACUGUUUAGAUCUGAUUGAAAACUCUACUUUAGGUAAACGGAAAAAAUUGAAUGUAAUACCUGAUACAACAGCAAAAAGGAUGAUUAGAAUUACAAGUGAUCUCAAGGACACUGCCAUCUUCUACCUCGGAUCAAUG
rnacentral:lncRNA from 1 species